rnacentral:lncRNA from 10 species
AAAAGUUGUUUGUCUUCCUUUUUCUGAGACUGUCUCGCCAUCUCUAAAGUAAGGAUAAUAUUAACCAUCCUGCUUGCCACACAGGGAGUAAUUUUGCAAAAUAUAUUAGGCUUUGAAGGAAGAAGUCGUUCUAACAGUCCCUAGCUAGAACUUGAGUGACUUAAAGGAGGGCUCCAGUCUUCAAAGAACCAGAGCAUGGGUACCAAAGCCUCCCAGAGCUAGUUCUGGUCCCAGCUCAGCCACUUGUCUGUUUGGGUGACU